CCUGUCAGCAGAGCCCGGAUCGCACUCCGCUUGCAAGUUGCAUCUGGGCACGAGCCUGUUGGUUCCGUCUGUCCAACGGCUUCCAGCUGCCCUCCUAACCCCGCACAGAUGUCUCACAAGCCGCGCUCCGCUCUUGGAGGGUGGACAGAGCAAGCAGGGCAAAUCCAUCACCCAACAACUUACAGCACAAGACCUGUGGAAGGUUUAUUCAAAAAUGAGAGCUGGAAUAUGGUCAUCUUCUUUACAUUUCUUUGUGCUUCAAGCAAUUGGACAAUGAGGAAAGGCUAAAGAACGAGGAACAAAAAGGUGUAGAACCUUCUAAGAAAUGAAAAUGCAGACAGCGUAUGCAACUAAAAUGAAGGACUGCAUUAUCAAAUUCAUGAGUUUUCAAAGAAGGAUUCGUUUAUGUCACCCUACUCAACGUACUAAAACAGAUUGUACAGUUCUUCCUGGGACCAAACAUCCCUUUAAAUCAAUAAGAAACAAAGCUCUAAUAAAGAACGCUGAAUCAGGCCCCUCACCACCGUACUAAUUAUGCAGAGAGCACCCAGCGAUGUUUACAGUGGACCUUUCCACGACCUGACCAUAACAUUAAACUCAGAGUCUAUUCCAG